UGUUCACAAAGCUAGUUAACAACUUGUUGAGUAAAUCCAGGGUUUCCCCUGGACGUUUGCAUGUAAGGAGUGGCAUUGGCAGCAUCUGACCAAUCACAAACAUGAAAGAGUGUAGUGGCAGCAGAGUGGUUGAUUUUUCAAAGGAAGAUAAAACUAUACUACGGGAAAAAUAUGAAGAGAUUAACUCACAAUACAGGCGGAAAAAUACACAGCUGAUGCAGACAAAGCAGUGGCAUGAGCGUGUGUGUGAAAGGAAAAGGGCUCUACAGCAGUUUAGUAAUAAAAGAGGUGUGUGAAUGUCUAAGUGUUUUUAAGGACUUUGGUCAUCGAGACUGGAAAUAUAUGGAUAGCCAGGAAAGCAAGCUGGCAAAAAUGCUAUGAGGUCAGAGGGAUCUUCCAGGAAUGUUGACAGUAUUUUCCAAAGAACUAAACGUGUGAAGAAUCAGGAAAAGCAGAGGAUGUUGUUGAACCAGAAUGCUAACAACGUGGAUCAGUACAUCAAAGAGAAGCUCGAUCUGGAACAAAAAAAUCUCCCAUU